AGAGUUUGAUCCUGGCUCAGGAUGAACGCUAGCGGGAGGCUUAACACAUGCAAGUCGAGGGGCAGCACGGGUAGCAAUACCUGGUGGCGACCGGCAGACGGGUGAGUAACGCGUAUGUAACCUACCCUGUACAGGGGGAUAACCCGGAGAAAUUCGGACUAAUAUCCCAUAGAAAUAUUGGAAGGCAUCUUUUGAUAUUUAAAGUUCCGGCGGUACGGGAUGGGCAUGCGUAACAUUAGCUAGUUGGUAAGGUAACGGCUUACCAAGGCUUUGAUGUUUAGGGGUCCUGAGAGGGUGAUCCCCCACACUGGUACUGGGACACGGACCAGACUCCUACGGGAGGCAGCAGUGAGGAAUAUUGGUCAAUGGGCGCAAGCCUGAACCAGCCAUCCCGCGUGCAGGAAGACGGCCCUAUGGGUUGUAAACUGCUUUUCCAGGGGGAGAAACUUGCGCACGUGUUGCGCAAUUGACGGUACCCUGGGAAUAAGCAUCGGCUAACUCCGUGCCAGCAGCCGCGGUAAUACGGAGGAUGCGAGCGUUAUCCGGAUUCAUUGGGUUUAAAGGGUGCGUAGGCGGACUAUUAAGUCAGUGGUGAAAUCCUGCAGUUUAACUGCAGAACUGCCAUUGAUACUGAUAGCCUUGAGUUUGGUUAAGGUAGGCGGAAUGUGUAAUGUAGCGGUGAGAUGCUUAGAUAUUACACAGAACACCAAUUGCGUAGGCAGCUUACUGAGCCGACACUGACGCUGAGGCACGAAAGCGUGGGGAUCGAACAGGAUUAGAUACCCUGGUAG
rnacentral:rRNA from 1 species